rnacentral:lncRNA from 10 species
CAGCAAUGCCCUGAAAAAUGAUGGCAUUCCCCGCUUCAGUUUUCAGAAGAGGAAGCAGGCCCUCAGAGCGGGAGCAGCUCAGUGAAGGUCACAAAAGCCAGGUCUUCCCCCAUUACCCUGUGCUUAUGGUCUCCUCAGAAAGGCAACAGCCACACAAAAACAGAGUGAUUCUGCCAGGAGCAGUAGCUGAUACAGUGAAACCCAUGACCUGUGAGCUCUGCACUGUCUCACAGUGGUGAGAGGGCAGUGGAAGAGACAAGAGAGGUGGCGGAAGUGCGGCCGACUGUCGUCUUUUCAUGCAGACUCUGCCAACAUUGCGCAGCUCGAAGGACUUUGCCAUCCCUGAACCAUGGUCAUUGCAUUAGCUCCAGCCGCUGCCCCUGUCUGGCUGCUCCUUCUCCUAAGGGGGCUUGCUUGUCCAGCAUGGGGAGACAAGAUCAGCUCCCUGCCGAUGGGGCUGAUGGCCUGAUUCGGGAACUGCUGGAGGUGGUCAUUGGUCUCCCAAUGCUGUUGAAAGAAUGGGUGCAGGUGAAAUUCUGUUGUAGCAGAGGAUUCUUUAUAAUCUCAUCACACAAAGUGUGGUCCCUGGGCUGGCAGUAUGAGGAUUACCAGGGAGCUUUUCACGAAUGCAGAAACUCAGGCCCCACCCAGACCUGCUGAUGUGGAAUCUGCAUUUUCACAGGCUCCCUGGGUGACACCUCUGUGCACUGAGGUUUGAGAGGCACUGCUGUGCAUCAUAUCAUUUUCCUGUGUCCCAGGGUGACCUGCUGACACAUGGUGGUGUUGAUUUCCAUACUAUUGAUUUCACAGAUCCGUACUUGCUACAGUGUAUUCCUCAAAGCCUUGUAGCAGAGAUUAUGCAAAAGAAGAGAACGUUUGGGAAACUCUGGGUUAAACCAAAUUAAAAUUAUUUGUUUAUGGCAGGUUUUACAGCAUCUUUAUAAUACCAAUAAGCGUUUUGAUGUCUGUG